rnacentral:rRNA from 1 species
UAAUACGGAGGGUGCAAGCGUUAUCCGGAAUCAUUGGGUUUAAAGGGUCCGUAGGCGGACUAUUAAGUCAGAGGUGAAAUCCCACAGCUCAACUGUGGAACUGCCUUUGAUACUGGUAGUCUUGAGUUAUAAGGAAGUAGAUAGAAUAUGUAGUGUAGCGGUGAAAUGCAUAGAUAUUACAUAGAAUACCGAUUGCGAAGGCAGUCUACUACUUAUAUACUGACGCUAAGGGACGAAAGCGUGGGGAGCGAACAGGAUUAGAUACCCUGGUAGUCCACGCCGUAAACGAUGGAUACUAGUUGUUGGAUUAUUUCAGUGACUAAGCGAAAGUGAUAAGUAUCCCACCUGGGGAGUACGGUCGCAAGACUG